GAAUUCACCAAGUGUUGGAUUGUUCA
rnacentral:snRNA from 1 species